UCCGGUUUGUCACCGGCAGUCUCAUUAGAGUGCCCAACUAAAUGUAGCAACUAAUGACAAGGGUUGCGCUCGUUGCGGGACUUAACCCAACACCUCACGGCACGAGCUGACGACAACCAUGCAGCACCUGUCUCCGCGCCCCGAAGGGACCCUAGAUCUCUCUAGGUAGCACGGGAUGUCAAAGGUGGGUAAGGUUCUGCGCGUUGCUUCGAAUUAAACCACAUGCUCCACCGCUUGUGCGGGCCCCCGUCAAUUUCUUUGAGUUUUAACCUUGCGGCCGUACUCCCCAGGCGGAUAACUUCACGCGUUAGCUUCGUUACCAAGGGAAUCAAUCCCCCGACAACCAGUUGACAUAGUUUAGGGCGUGGACUAC
rnacentral:misc_RNA from 1 species